rnacentral:rRNA from 1 species
AGAUCGUAGGCUGCAACUCGCCUACGUGAAGGAGGAAUCGCUAGUAAUCGCAGGUCAGCAUACUGCGGUGAAUACGUUCCCGGGCCUUGUACACACCGCCCGUCACACCAUGGGAGUUGGCCACGCCCGAAGCCGUUACUCCAACCCUCGGGAGGAGGACGUCGAAGGUGGGGCUGAUGACUGGGGUGAAGUCGUAACAAGGUAGCCGUACCGGAAGGUGCGGCUGGAUCACCUCCUAA